GAAACUCAUACGCAUUCAAUUUUCAAAAUGAAGAAUUGGGCUUGAAGUCAGAUUUCGUUGUAUGAACUUUUGAUUUGGUAGAUUUUCUUAACGGAUUUGAUCAGAGUUGUGAACUUGGUAAAUUUAUGUUGUUGAUAGAAUGCCUACGACUUUUCAUGGUUAUCAUUCCUUUAAUAACUCAUGUGAAGAUAUAUGGUUAUUUGAUCGAAAUUAAUAGGUGAAUAUCUUUGUUCUGCAACUUUUCCUUUUAGCUGGAUUGAACAAUUCGUUCGCAGCAUGCUAUCGUGAUUUGUCUAUCCUUUGGUAUGAAGCUGAAAGUUGCAGUGCCUUUAUCCUUUUGAUUCACUCACUCUGAAAUCAAUAGAAAUGAACUUCAAUUUGAUGAUGGAAUGCAUGGAAAAUGUGGGGGAGAGCCUUCUCUCGCUCUCAAAUCCGGCGAAUCACGUCGCACCACCAGCGUUCCCCCGCUUUACUGAAGAUGGUGAUCAUUUCACAAGUUUUGCAAACAUGGCUACUCAGCCUUUGACAUACAGAGUUGAUGAUGGGAGGAGCCAGGUGAGCUAGGAUCGGGGUUUGUAUCGUUCUAAAUUAUUCGUUAAGUUACGGAAAAAAGAUAUGGUUGUCCAGUCUAGUUUUGUAUUUUCAACAUCUUAAACAUUUUCCUUUGAUACCGCUUCGUUUUGAUUUGUAAACAAACUAUAUCUUUAUCUUGGGUCACAAUGUGAUGUUUAA